rnacentral:rRNA from 1 species
AUUGAACGCUGGCGGCAGGCCUAACACAUGCAAGUCGAGCGAGCGGCGGACGGGUGAGAAAUGUAUGGGGACUGCCCGAUAGAGGGGGAUAACUACUGGAAACGGUGGCUAAUACCGCAUACUAUCGGAUAACCCAUAUGGGAUUAGCGAUUUGGUGAGGGAAUGGCUCACCAAGGCGACGAUCCCUAGCUGGUCUGAGAGGAUGAUCUGCCACACUGGGACGGAGACACGGCCCCGAAUCCUCCGGAGGCAGCAGUGGGGAAUAUUGCACAAUGGUCUCAAGCCUGAUUCAGCCAUGCCGCGUGUAUGAAGAAGGCCCUAGGGUUGUAAAGUACUUUCAGUCGGGAGGCGUUACCGACAGAAGAAGCACCGGCUAACUCCGUGCCAGCAGCCGCGGUAAUUC